GUGGUGAGCAUGUGUGUGCAGUGAGCUUGUCUGUAGUAAGCAUGUGUGUGAUCGUGAGCUUGUCUGUAGUGACCAUAUGUGUGUCAGUAAACUUGUCUGUAGUGAGCAUGUGUGUGUCAGUGAGCUUGUUUGUAGUUAGCGUGUAUGUGACAGUUAGGUUGUCUGUAGUAAGCUUGUGUGUGUGUAUCAGAGUUUGUCUGUAC